UACUAAGGUAUGCGUGCGAAGCACGUUUCUCCCUCUCUCUCUCUCUCUCGCUCUUUCUAUAUAUAUAUAUAUAUUAAACUUGGCCCCCCCAUUCUUAUUUCAAUAUUUCAAAAGCCACUUCUUUUUUUUUCUCAUCACUGGAUUCAGAUUCGAUCCAGUUUGAGGAAGCAAGCAUGUUGGGUGGGGAUGAGGAGAAGAUGGAGGGAGAGGAAAGUAAAGAGCAGAAGAUGAAGAAGUGUGAAGAACAGGAGGUGGGCAAUAAUGAUGAAAAGAAGGUUGAUGCUGUGAAGGCUGCUAGGGAGAAGGCUAAGGAGAAGGCUAAGGAGCUUUUGAAGCUUAACAGACCAAUCAACAGGGACGAUCCAUUUGACACUGAAUAUUUUGUGGCUUUGUACAAAAGGAAUAAAUAACAGCCACGUUCUGCUAACUCUACUUAAUAUGUCAACCACUCUUGGUUAUAUUGACAUCCAGCACUCUUGGUUAUAUUGA